rnacentral:rRNA from 1 species
CGAGACUGCCGGUAUAACCGGAGGAAGUAGGGGAGUGACGUCAAAUCAUCAUGCCCUUAUGACCUGGGCUACACACGUGCUACAAUGGUUGGUACAACGAGUUGCGAGUCGGUGACGGCGAGCUAAUCUCUUAAAGCCAAUCUCAGUUCGGAUUGUAGGCUGCAACUCGCCUACAUGAAGUCGGAAUCGCUAGUAAUCGCGGAUCAGCACGCCGCGGUGAAUACGUUCCCGGGCCCGUUC